CAUGCAAGUCGAGGGGAAACGACAUCGAAAGCUUGCUUUUGAUGGGCGUCGACCGGCGCACGGGUGAGUAACGCGUAUCCAACCUGCCCAUCACUUGGGGAUAACCUUGCGAAAGUAAGACUAAUACCCAAUGACGUCUCUAGAAGACAUCUGAAAGAGAUUAAAGAUUUAUCGGUGAUGGAUGGGGAUGCGUCUGAUUAGCUUGUUGGCGGGGUAACGGCCCACCAAGGCGACGAUCAGUAGGGGUUCUGAGAGGAAGGUCCCCCACAUUGGAACUGAGACACGGUCCAAACUCCUACGGGAGGCAGCAGUGAGGAAUAUUGGUCAAUGGGCGAGAGCCUGAACCAGCCAAGUAGCGUGCAGGAUGACGGCCCUAUGGGUUGUAAACUGCUUUUAUAAGGGAAUAAAGUGAGUCUCGUGAGACUUUUUGCAUGUACCUUAUGAAUAAGGACCGGCUAAUUCCGUGCCAGCAGCCGCGGUAAUACGGAAGGUCCGGGCGUUAUCCGGAUUUAUUGGGUUUAAAGGGAGCGUAGGCCGGAGAUUAAGCGUGUUGUGAAAUGUAGACGCUCAACGUCUGCACUGCAGCGCGAACUGGUUUCCUUGAGUACGCACAAAGUGGGCGGAAUUCGUGGUGUAGCGGUGAAAUGCUUAGAUAUCACGAAGAACUCCGAUUGCGAAGGCAGCUCACUGGAGCGCAACUGACGCUGAGGCUCGAAAGUGCGGGUAUCGAACAGGAUUAGAUACCCUGGUAGUCCGCACGGUAAACGAUGGAUGCCCGCUGUUGGUCUGAAUAGGUCAGCGGCCAAGCGAAAGCAUUAAGCAUCCCACCUGGGGAGUACGCC
rnacentral:rRNA from 1 species